UUAAUUCAUUUCAUUUAUGUGAUUUAUAUGAUCAAAGAUGAUUGAUUCAUUCAUGUAUCAAGUUUGGUUCUAAAUGAUAUUCAUUCAAAAAGUCAAAUUUGAUUCACUCAUACAUCAUUCAUUAAACAUGUAUGAUGUUCAUCACAAAAGAAAUAUCAAAAUUUUACAUUUUUACAAAGGUUGACCAAAGUCAACCAUCACUUAUUUUUAUCCUAAAAUCCAAGAUUCAUCACAACUUCAUCAAAUGCAUCAUUCUUAUAUCUUCCAUGGUCACCAUUUCCUCCAUUAAUCAAGCCUUGCAAAAUUUGGUCAAGCCUUUGUUUUUGUGCCUUACAUGAGGACUUGUAAACUUAGCCUUUCAAGCUUCAUAAUCCUACAUAUAAACACCAGCCAACCAGUUAACAUGAUGCAUAUGAACAUUUCACAAAUUUCAUGACAUAGCCAAGUAUACCACCAAACCGUUUAACCUAUCUUAAUCACACAUACAUGAACAAUAAUUGCACUAAACACUUAUACACGAACUGUAAUGGCCUUGUUUUUGUAGCAACGUGCCAAGCAUUACUACCUCCGCAUAAUCCUGCAUCAAGGUUUCAAAAAGGCAAUCCAUCAAAGCCGUGAGAUGGACUUGAGCAAUAACCAUGAAUUUCAGCACAUGUUAGCAAGCCCACAUUGACCAACAAUGCCUUCAGCAGCAAAUCAUGCCAACCUCUACCCAAACUCCUGCAACAACUUCACAAAUCAAUCCACAACCAUUUCACAAGAAUAAGCAAGCCAGUCCAAUAUGCAAUGGGACAAGUUCAUAAGCAUGCAUCAACAUGAUUCAUCAUAGCUAUACCAACUCAGUUAACAUUUCAACAUAAGGCAUGAUGAAUCAGAAUAAUUCACUUAAUUAGCAAGGUAGAAAAUAUUAUUGAACCCUUCCAUCUAAUAGAAAAUUGAUUUUUCACAUUAACUCAACCAUCUCAACAUUAAAACUCAGUGACUCGAAUCAAACACAAGGCAAUUGAUUCAUUUCACUCGAGUCUCCAAGUCUGCUUCACACACUCCAUCUGAACCAUUCCCUCUAAUCAAUCCAUUCCAUCUCAACUGAACCUUUUUCACACUAAUAGAAAAUUGGAUUAAUCAUUCUACUCGAGAUCAUUUAACGGCAGUAAUUCAUUUUGACUCAGUUAACUCUAACAACCUCAACUAACAUAACUAACUAUUUGACAUUGUGAUAACUCCUAACUAACUUCUGAUACAUUCAGUUAACAAAACUAACAGAAGCAAUUAACUCCUCUCAUAUAAAUGCUUGCACCAUCCUCAGGAUCUAGGGACCAUAUUCGUUCUAUUCAAUUUGAUUCAACACUCUCCCUCACACUUCAUAAUCUCUCUCUCUCUCUCUCUCUCGAAUUGACAAUCCCUUGAUACGUUUUUCUCAGAUUCAUCUCAACACUCAGAAGAAGAGGAAAGAAGAAGAAGCUUAAGGAGAAGGGGAUUUAAGAGGAAAGAGUUUCGAAGGAUUCAUAGAGGUUUACCUGACAUUUCCGGCACAGUACUCUGGUGAGUUCAUGAUCAAUCUUCAUCAUUUUUUGCUCCAUUUGAGUUACCACGAUGUAGCAUUGGUUGAGACGAAUCAAAGCCCUACCACGAUGUAGAAUUUGAUUACAUGCAUCCACCAUUUAGUUUUAGUUCUUAACUUUAGGGUUCUUGAACGUCUCACUUCAAUAUGGAAAUUCUGUGAAGAUUCAGGAGAUUCUGAGUUUGGAUUUAGACUUAGCAUGAGAAUAAAAGUGUUUAUGUAUGUUUGGUUUUGUGAUUGGUGGCUCCACCACCGCUGGUGGUAAACUCCGACGCGGUGGAGGGAAGAGAUAAAAAGGGGGUUCAUUUUGAAUUUCAGAGCACAUGUUACAUGCGAUUCAUGUGGUUCACGUGGUUUUUGACAAUCUGAGCCCAUUUUUUUUUAUUUUCCCUGUGUUCUGGAUUGGGCCUCCACGAUCGGGCUUAUGACCAUUUUUCUAUCUUGCACCAUAUGUGAGCGUGCACCCCCUGUCGAAUUGACCUCCAGAGUGGGCCUAUGGGAUUGGGCCUCUGCGCCCAGAAUCCCUU
rnacentral:lncRNA from 1 species